rnacentral:rRNA from 1 species
UACGAAGGGGGCUAGCGUUGCUCGGAAUCACUGGGCGUAAAGGGCGCGUAGGCGGCGUUUUAAGUCGGGGGUGAAAGCCUGUGGCUCAACCACAGAAUGGCCUCGAUACUGGGACGCUUGAGUAUGGUAGAGGUUGGUGGAACUGCGAGUGUAGAGGUGAAAUUCGUAGAUAUUCGCAAGAACACCGGUGGCGAAGGCGGCCAACUGGACCAUUACUGACGCUGAGGCGCCGAAAGCGUGGGGAGCAAACAGG